UCAGUGCAAAUAGAGCUAAAAAUCAGACUUCCUGAGUCACAACAGUAGAAUGAGGGAAAAUCAGACUACCUGAGUCACAAUAGGAUCUGUGAAGGGGAAAUUUAAUUUAGUUCUUCUCGAGAUACAGAAUAGUAUAGAACUCAUUAGGACAAGUCCCUUCAACUACCAUCAUGCCCAAGAAACAAAAUAUUUUUGAUUCCUUUUCCCACUCUGCCAUCCAGCAGUUCAAGGAGGCCUUCGGCAUCAUGGACGUGGAUAAAGAUGGACUCCUAUCAGCCUCUGACCUCGUUGCUGCCUUCGCUAAUCACGGUAAAUCCGUAGGAAGCGGAGAGGCUCAGGUAA